AAACUGUAUUAGGAAGAAGUUCUCUGUAAACUGUAUUGGGAAGAAGAUUCUCUAUAUAUGGAAGGGAUUUGAAAGGACUGCAAAAUAUACAAAGUAAUUUUACUUGUGUUGGUGGGAGACCAUUCAGAACACAAUUGGAAUGUUUAAACACACAAGUAAAAAAAAAUAUAAUAUUUUACAGUUCAAACCAGGAAGUUUCUCUUGAAGUUAACAUUUGAAUAUAUCUUUUGGUUCACUAACAAAAUUAUACCACAUGAUGUAUGAAAGAAAUUUUGGUUUUAUUACAUGAAGUAAAAUGCUAAGUAUGAACCAAAUGAAUAUGAAAUAUACUGAUAAAAUAUUUAAUUACUAUCACAAUAUGGGAUCUGGAAACUAAAUGUACAGGACAAAGAAUUGAUAAUGAGUUAAAGGAGAAAACAACAACACAUUUUUAAAAUUAAUCUCAUCAAUGGUAACUGAAACAUGAAGUGAACCAAAGUGUCUGGAUUCAUGCAUUACAAAACUGCUACUUUAUUCAGUUCACAGUUCUAUGAGAGUUAAUGUCUGGAUGUGGCAUACAAUGAUAACUCUAAGACAACAAGCAAAGCAACUAACAUUCAAUAGUCUAAGUGUACAGAGAAACAACAAGAAAAACAGGGAAGUCAUAUACAUAAAAAAAAAUAAAUUGAAAGUCUGCAUUCAAUGAUUGUUCUCUUAAAUCACAGAUUGAGACUUGUAGCUGAUGAAAAAAACAUUGAGAAGGAUUAAGUUCUUUUAAAUAUAAAGCAAUCAUGUAGGUCAGUGUCAUUGACAGAGGUGUUGCCAACUAAGUAUUUUGUAUAAAAAAUUUAAAAAAAUACAUUUCAUUAAGACCUCUAACCCUAAAACUUACCCAAAAUGUGAUUAUAAUCUAGCUCUGUUGUUGGUCUGGCUUUAACCACAAAGAAUGAAGUGAAAAAUAAGUGACUAAAUAUUGUUUUUUUUAUUAGAACUUUGAGCUUUGACAUAUCUGUUAUUACUUAAACCUGUUUUAAUCUCAGGGGGAGACAAUUGUAGUGGGGGGGGGCUAUAGGUUGGUAGACCUAAACAUAGGAAUAUUUUUCAACAAUCACAUUUAUUUCUUGGGAGGAAAAAGUUGGCUUGAUAAAAUAAGUUUUUAAAAGAAAAAGGCCUUUAAAAAAAUAAUUUUUUGCUUUUUACAAAAUAACUUUCAUAGAGAUUGGGCUUUGAAUGUAAAAAAAUAAAUAAGUUAAAGAUUUAUUUUAUUUAUUCACAAGAAAAAAAUUAGAAAAAGUAACGUAAUUCGUAAAGUUGUAUUAGAUAAAAAUGUCACAUUCUACACAGUUGAAAUGUCUAAAUAAUUUGUUGAAUUUUACCAAUAAAGACAAAGCAUGCCUUUUAUAACCACUCAUUAGAGGAAACAUACCUGAUGAAGAGGCAAAUAGUAGUUUUUACAUUUUUUAAAGAGAAUAUAUACUUUGACAUCGGAUAAAACAUUUCAGAGAAUAACUUAAUAGGAUACAUUGGCUGCCUUAGGAAGACAAAAUAAAAACAUUAAUUUGAAAUAGAAGAUAGAAAGAAACUCUGAAAUAGAAGACAGAUUGAAAGAAACUCUGAAAUAGAAGACAGACUGAAAGAAACUUUGAAAAAGAAGA